rnacentral:sRNA from 1 species
UGAAAAAAAAACUAAAUUAGACCUUAUACGGUUGCUCCAACAGUCCAGGGAUCCACAUCUGCGAGCCGGGAAAACGUUGUGUUGUGGAAUUUGAAUUUUUGUGGAUUCAAUGCAACGCCCAUUAUCAAACACAAGGGUUUACUCCAUCAGUUCCCGAUAUGCCAAAAUCAUGCAGGCAACCCCAGUAACACAACGAUCUCUGC